rnacentral:tRNA from 1 species
GCCCCUGUAGCUCAGCGGUAGAUCGCGUCCUUGGUAAGGACGAGGCCGCGGGUUCGAUUCCCGCCGGGGGCU